UACGUAGGGAGCAAGCGUUGUCCGGAAUCAUUGGGCGUAAAGCGCGCGUAGGCGGCCCUGUAAGUCCGUUGUGAAAGUCAAAGGCUCAACCUUUGAAAGCCGAUGGAUACUGCAGGGCUGGAGUCCGGAAGAGGCGAGUGGAAUUCCUGGUGUAGCGGUGGAAUGCGCAGAUAUCAGGAGGAACACCGAUGGCGAAGGCAGGUCACUGGGCCGCAACUGACGCUGAGAAGCGAAAGCAUGGGGAGCGAACAGG
rnacentral:rRNA from 1 species